AAAAAGAUAUUCAAUCCAUCUAUAUCCACGAGUUUGUGUAAUUUCUUUCCUGCUUUGAAAUGGAUCAAUUACAAAGGGUUUGAGAAGAGUGUUAUCAAGGUGCGUGAUGCGAGGGAUGGAUUUUCGCAAGACUUGAUAGAUGAGAUUCGACAAAAGAAAACCAGUUCAUGUUCAAGUCCUGAUGCAGGACCGGAGAAGACAACCGUGAUCGAAACUUUACUGUCUCUCCAAGAACAAGAACCUGAUUUCUAUACAGAUGAUAUCAUCAAGGGUCUCGUAUUGGUAAGCAGUUUUUGCAGCAGAUUUAGAUUGAUUGUCUUUCCAUCUGUUUCUGAAUUUUGGUUUGCAAUUGACAAAAUUAUUUGCUGUUCAUCGUUGGCCAUUAAGAAUUGCAUGGAGAAAUUUAUUGUGAUUAUUUCGUUUCACCCUUAUUUUUUCUACUGCCAACUGACUAAUGUCGCAGAAAAAUUACCAAGCAGAUGCUUGGUGCUGGUGAUAGUGCUUGCCUGUAAGAGAGCUGAUGAGCUGUUCUUGCUGGCUUGCUGCAUCUCUUUCUGCUUUUCUUUUCCCCUCACCAAUUUGUCUGUCUUCGUUUGGUUUUAUUAUGUGCUCUUUGUAGUUAAUCUAGACGGGCUAUGUCACCCGGUUUUCCAGGUUAAUUCUAGUUAAUUCGAUUAAGGUUUUCGAUUGAUCUAGUUACAUAUCCAAUCGAAACCUAAGUGGGGUUAAUUUAAAAAGAAACGAUGACUUUUUAACUAAAAUAAUUAAUCUGAAUUGACUCAAUGAUUGGUUUAUUGAUAUGAUAAUCUAUUAAUCCAUGCUAUUUUUUGAGUUAUUUAUUUACCUUUGAGAAAAACCGAACUGCAGAUUAUAUUAUAAUAGAAAUGUUAUUAUCAAUAUAUUAAAAAAUUCCUGAUGAAAAAUGGAUGCCGUAUGCUAAUUGCAGUAUAACAAUUCUGCCGGUCACUUUCUCAAUUCAUGCAUCUCCCCUUGCCUAACUCUGGCUCGUUUUCUUUUUUGCCCCCAUGGAACACGAACGUGGCUAUAUAUGUGUUUCCCAGCUGAUCACAAUACAUCUAUCAAGUUCUUAAAAUAUGGACAAGGAAGAUGAAUUGAUAGAUUUGUUCACAUUUUUUAUUCAAUUAUUAUGGAGCAUCCUGCAGUGUAAAUGGAUGUGUAUGUUACUAAUGCUUCUGUUCAGAAUUGAACAAAAGUAUAUAUCAGCAUUUAUCCCUGGCUGACUUGAAUUUCUUCUUGUUCUACAGGCAAUUUUUGCUGCAGGGACAGAUACAGUAGCUGUUACCAUGGAAUGGGCAAUGUCACUUCUGCUAAAUCAUCCAGAGAUAUUGCAGAAGGUAAGAGAAGAGAUUGAUAGUCAAGUUGGGCAUACGCGCUUGGUAGAGGAGUUGGAUCUUCCGAAGCUAAAAUAUCUCCGUUGCGUGAUCAAUGAGACGCUCCGGUUGUAUCCUGUUGUGCCACUCUUACUCCCACGGUGUCCAUCUGAAGACUGUACGGUGGCAGGAUACAAGGUUCCAAAAGGCACAAUCCUACAGGUGAAUGCUUUCGCCAUGCACAGGGAUCCCAAGAUGUGGGAACAACCUGACAGGUUCAAGCCAGAGAGAUUUGAAGCGACCGAGGAGGAAAAGGAAGGCAUCAAGUUUAUUCCAUUUGGAAUGGGAAGGAGGGCUUGCCCAGGAUCUAACAUGGGUAUGCGCGCAAUCAUGUUGGCAAUGGCUGCACUUUUUCAGUGCUUUGAGUGGGAGAGGACUGGACCGGAGAUGGUUGAUAUGACUCCAGCAGCAGCAAAUUCUAUGGUUAAGGUUAAGCCUUUGGAGGCUUUUUGUAAACCGUAUCAUUCCAUGGCUAACCUCUUCUCCCAGCUCUAGUGCGAAGGUAUGAUCGGGCUUCUGGAACGAUUAAUAUGUAAAUUAUUGCUUGAUUUGUGUGAUUGAGCUGUAAGGAAAACGUGGUGUUGCCUUUGAAAUAGAUCCAUCAUCCUGUUGAUUUUUGUUUCAUAGUUUCAGAGAAGAUGCCCGUAACUCAAGGGUUGAUUUUUAUUUUUAUUUUUAAAGAACCAAAACUACACUGUUUUAACAAUAAAUUUCAAUGAAAAGACCAGCGAGUUGAUGACUAGAUCUUGAUCGGUUUAGGUUGAGGUCGAUGAAGUCACAAGAAUAAUCUAAAUUUUUGACCUGAUUAGCUAAGUUUUUUCCAUUUUUCUUCAACUUGAUAUAAAAUCCAAGUUGAUUGAGUCCGACUUGUCAUCUCGUCCAAGUUUUAAAACACUGUUAAAACUAACCAUGGUAUAAGAAAAAAAAAAACAAGAAGGAUAAAAGUUAAAUAUGCUUUCCCACUACCUCUAGAUCACUAGCUUUCUUUCUACCGUGUCCAAUCUCUAAAUAGAGAAAUAGAGAAGGAAUCAUAUCAUCCGCUAGAGAGAAAAAUGGAAGUAACUCUCCGGUUGAACCUGGUACUCCUCCUCUCUUUCUAAUUGAUACAAUAUAUAGCAAAAAAAUUGAAUUAAAUUUUUUUCAACCUUAAAGAAAAGCUCAUCCGCCGCUGUAUAGCAAAAAACUCAUCCCUUAAAAGAAAAAUAAUUAGAUUAUGAAAAUAUAUUAAAAAAAUUUGCAACUUCAUUAAAAAAUAUAUGGAAAAUGUAUUAAAUUAUCUUAUCUCACCUUAAUUUCAAAAGUUGCAAUUUUUUUCUUUUGACUUUUUCCAUGCUUAACACAUUGAUGUAAAGUUAAGGCUGCCCAAUUUGGCUGCAUUAUACGUUUUCAACAAUUGCAAAGACAUUAAACAUUAAAAGAUGCCCGUCAUAACAGCCUUCUCUAGAAUUAAUAUUAAUAAAUCUACGGGCACAAAUCAAUUACUAUCACCUUCGACGUAGUUUGGGAGUAGGCUUGUGAAAAUUUAUUUAUUUAUAAUUUAUAAUUUAUUUUUUUGUGUUUUUAUAUUAUUUUAAUAUAUUAAUAUCAAAAAUAUAUUUUUUGAAAUUAAAAAAAGUUAUUUUAAUAUAUUUAAAAUAAAAAAUACUUUAAAAAACAAUUAAAAGUGCACUUAAAAUCAACCAAGAAGGGUGUAACUCAACUGGUUAGAUCCUGAAUUUGUUUUUUAGAGAUUAUUAAUUCGAGUUCACAAACUUUAGGAUUACUGGAGACUUAUAUGAUUGUUAACUUUAAAUCUCGACGGGAAAACAUGAAAAGAAAAGGAAAGCAGUAAUUUAUUUUUUAAAAAUGGAUGCAAUUGCAGGCAAUGUUAAUUGCUGGAAGUGAGACUUUUCAUCUGCUUCUAUGGAAUGGGCAAUGUCACUUCUCCUUGAGCAUCCUGAAGCAAUGAAAAGGGCUUUGGCUGAGAUGGACACUAAUGUUGGAAAGGUUCGCUUUUUGGAUGAAACUGAUCUACCGAAGCUAAGUUACCUUCAGAACAUAAACGACUAGUCACUUAGAUUAUAUCCACCAGGUUCGCUAAUAAAUUUUUUCACGAUAUAAUAACAUAAAUUAAUUAUUUUAAUACAAGAGUUAAUAUAAAUAUCAUAAUUGUAGGGUACUAACUAAACAUAAAAAAAAUAUUAAUUACAAUAAAAAAAAAGUAAAUUCUAAAGGCCCUAUAAACAUAGUUAGUUAACAAACUAUAAGCCUGAAAAAAAAAUAACAAGAGGAUGAAUUUAGCAACUCAAUGAAUAGAUAACGUUUAAUAUAUGCGUAUACAAUGUAAUAAAACAAUAAUGAAUACAUAUACAAAUAUGACUUUAAAUUUUUAUAUGAAAGUUUCUCAAAUAAAUCAUAAUAAGAAUAUCAUAAGGUAAAGCUCGUUAAAAAAUCAAAAUGUAAUAGUUUUUCCGAAAUCUAAUUCAAAAAAAAAAAAUCAUAACACUUGAUGAUAAUUCACCAAAUAAACCUCAAUUAUCCACCAAACCAAUCUGAAUAACUAAAACUAUAAUUAGGGACUAUUCUAGAAUUUUCUUAAAUUUUUAGGGGUCAAAUUAUAGUUUUAUCAAAUUAGAGGACCAAACUGAAAAUGUCAUAAAUCCAUAACUACAUGAACAAUUCAAAAUAAAACAAAUCAUAAAACUUGAUAACAAUUCACCAAAUAAAUCUCAAUUAUUCAUCACAUCAAUUUGAAAAACCAAAAUUACAACUAGACAUCAUAUUGGAAUUUUCUUAGAUUUUUAGGGUCAAAUUACAAUUUUUUCAAAUUAAAGGAUCAAAUUAAAAAUAUCAUAAAUUCAUAACUAUAUGAACCAAAUUGUCAUUUUUCACAAAAACCUAAACAUCAAAUGGUUUUUUCAAAAUCUAAUUAAAAAAAAAACAAAUAAUAAAAAUUUAUAAUAAUUCACCAAAUAAACCUCAAUUGUUCAUCAAGUCAAUUUGAAAAGCUAAAAUUACAAUUAGGACCAUUCUAGAAUUUUCUCAUUGUUUAGGGGUCAAAUUAUAAUUUUAUCAAAUUGGAGGACCAAAUUAAAAAUGUCAUGAGUUCAUAAUUAUACUGAAUUUUUUUCAUAAUUCAUCAUCAAUCUAGCCAAGAAUCACCAAACUAUAAUUUCUCCAAAGUUCAAGGACUAAACUAUAAUUUUUACAAAUUAAAAGACUAAACUGAAUCUCAUCAUCUUCAACCUCAAACCCAGAUUUUUCUACAAACCCAUAUUUUUUUUUUAAUAUAAGAAUCUCUAAACUUAUAAAUCUUCUCACUCUUCAGUAUAUAAUCUUGAUGCUUGGGAUACAUUGGGCCAUAAAAUCAUCACUAAAUUAGAAAUUAGCGGGUUAUGAUCUAAUAAUGGAUUCCAUGGCCUACUACCCUGGUAAAACCCGAUUUAAUUUUUUGAGUGGGAGAUCUUUUCUUUAGAACAUGAUAGAAUCAACAAAGUCUCUUUAUAAUUGUGCAGCCGAUAUAAAUAUAUAAGCACAAACGAGGACAAUGUUAUCAUGGAGCAUCUUGCUAAACCUGGUCUGUUCGGUAAAUUGACAUGGGAAAUCCAUGAUUUGAAGUCUAAAUUGGAAAAAUCAUUGAUUUGAUCAUUGUUUUGGGUGCAAUAUUCCUUCCUCGCUAAUUUUGGACAUGGAAUGAAAAUAAUUUUUUUUUGUGAAAACACUGCAAAGGAGCUCUGAUGAUAAGAAUGAGACACAUAAAUGAGGAGAGACUCCUCUUUGUUUUGAAACUGCAUGUGGACAAAGAGCGACGCCUGCUCUUUCCAUUUAAAAGCAAAUGUCUUCCAUUACAAUAAGAACACAUCACAAAGAAAAAUAAAAAAAAAUGGAGAACAUGCUUAGGCUUUGGUUCCAUUUGGUGAUCAAGUUACGACUUACGAGGGCAUUCCAGAUUCCAGUAAGUAAAGAAUCAAUGCCGGAACGUCUCCGAUCAACAAUGCAGACACUACUUGGAACCAAGAGAUCACCUUUUGUGGUCUCAGGUUCGAGUCCUAGAUUGCUCAUAUAAUGACCACCGGAGGCUUACAUGGUCAUUAACUUUAAGCCCGUGAAAUUAAUCGAGGUGCGCGCAAGCUAACCCAGACACUUAUGUUAAAUUAAAAAAUAAUGCAAACACCUAAGUAAAGAAUUAAAAAACAAAACAAUUCAAGUUAACGGCCCCUGAAACUCUGUUUAUUAAUUAAUAUAUAUCAUAAUUUUAUGUAUUAAUUAUAAAAUUAUGACAUCUCAAUUUAGUUUGAAUUUGACUUCUCAAUUUUCAAUUCCAUUGCCAUUAGCUAAUGCAAAAUGACAAGGGCAAUUGCACUGACAAAAAAUACACGCCAAGGCCAGUUUGUUUUAGCUGUCUCUUUCCACUAUUUAGCUUUUAUGGGUUCUAGUGCCCGGCCAACUGUGUAAAGUUUACCUUUGCAAUCAAAAUUUCUGUGUCUGGCUAAUCUAAGCACCCUCUAGGUAAAUGAUUGUGAUAUUUGUAAAGUUCCUCUAGGAUUCAAGACUAUUGACCUCAAGAUUUCAUAGCGGGAAGUGUAAUCGAAUCAGUCUGAAUCUCUAGAUCCUGUUCAUCAUAGCUUAUAUCUGCAAUUCUUCAUACUAAUCACUGCUGUCUUAUCGUGAAUUUUAUUAACAUCCAUCCUUCUUACGCAGAAGCCUGCACGAAGGAAGAUGGAGGUAUCUCACUGGUUCAACUUUGCAGCACUAUUCUUCUUCUUUGUGCUUGCAUCAAAGCUUAUUAUAUACAAACGGGGAGAUCCGAAAAACCUCCCACCUAGUCCACCUUCCCGUCCUAUCAUAGGGCAUCUCCAUUUAUUAAAGCAACCAAUACAUAGAACUCUGUGCGAGCUUUCUAAGAAGUAUGGUGACAUACUGUUUCUCCGAUUUGGGACUCGUAAAGUCCUUGUAAUCUCUUCACCAUCAGCCGUUGAAGAGUGCUUCACUAGAAAAGAUGUAAUAUUUGCUAACCGCCCUCGUACACUAGCCGGAAAACAUCUCAAUUACAACUCGACAACCAUUGGUGUCUCUUCUUAUGGUGAGCAUUGGCGCAACCUCAGGCGCUUAACAACCAUUGAGCUCUUCUCUGCAAGUCGUGUUGCCUCGUUCUCUGAUAUUAGAAAAGAGGAGGUUCAGCUAUUGCUAAAGCAAUUGUUUCGGGAUUCCAGCAAACAUCAGGCUAAGGCGGGGCUUACAGCAAGUUUUAUGGAGCUUACAUUCAAUGUUAUGAUGAGAAUGAUUGCAGGAAAACGUUAUUAUGGAAAAGAAGUGGUAGAUGAAGAAGCGAGACAGUUUCAUAAUAUUAUAAAAGAAAUGGAGGCGCUGCGAGGGAGUUCUAAUAUGAAUGAUUUCUUUCCAGUACUGCAAUGGAUAGAUUUCCAAGGUUUGGAGAAGAGAAUGAUGGGGUUGAAGAAGAAGAUGGACAAAUUCUUGCAGGAUCUCAUCGAGGAGCAUCAGAAAGUGAGGAGUCAGUCAUCUCAAUCCACCAAGAUAACCGGUCUGGGCAACCAAAAGAGAAACAUGACACUUAUUGAUGUUAUGUUAUCGUUGAAAGAGACAGAACCUGAAUUCUAUACUGAUCAAACCAUAAAAGGUGUAAUCAUGGUAAGAAAAUCUCUAGAACUUAUGAUCCCAAUUUCAACAAAUUGACCAGAGACAACUGUUGGGGAUCACAAGUGAUCAUUCAGUUAGGUGAUGGGCAAUAGGCUCUUUACUGUUGAUAAAUUUCUACUAAUAUUCCUGUUUAUCUGAUAUCUUCAUCCUGAAGACAUAUUGGUAACACAUCUGAGCAUGUGCAGUCAACACUAACCGCAGGAAGCCAAACUUCAGCAGCUACCUUAGAGUGGGCAAUGUCGCUUCUCCUUAACAAUCCGGACACAAUGCAAAAGGCUUCUGAAGAGAUAGAUGCUAUUGUUGGAACAGAGCACAUAUUGGAUGAAGUAGAUGUAACAAAGCUCAGUUACCUCCAAAACAUAAUUAACGAGACAUUUAGGCUCUUUCCACCUGCUCCGCUUCUUUUACCACAUGAAUCUUCCGAGGACUGCACUAUUAGUGGAUUUCAUGUGCCCCGAGGCACAAUGUUACUGGUCAAUACUUGGAGCAUUCAUAGAGAUACCAAGCUGUGGGUGGAGCCAACAAAAUUCAUGCCAGAGAGAUUUGAAGGUGGAGAAGGUGAAGGGUAUAGACUGCUUCCAUUUGGUGCUGGGAGGCGGGCUUGUCCCGGGGCUGGUCUAGCCAAGCGAAUCAUAGGCCUGACACUAGGUGUCUUGAUUCAGUGCUUUGAGUGGGAUAGAGUUGGCAAAGAGGAGAUUAACUUGACAGAGGGAACAGGGCUUACCAUGCCCAAAGCUGAACCACUGGAGGCGUUGUGCAGACCUCGCCAAUCCAUGGUCAGCCUCCUCUCUUCUAUGUGAAGCAUAUGGAUGAUUUCCCUAAAGUAUGCUCUCUUUGUUUGUUCUGAGACAUUCUAUAACUAAGUUUUUCAUAGCAUCCACAAUAAUAUAUAUAAGCAAUGAAAACCUGUCCCAACUUUGAUGAACGAACGAACCAGAAUGUAGUUUGGCUUGCUUAAUUCCAGUCGCAUGUUUUGCUUGCAAUCUGACUAGAAAAGUCCCAAUAUCUGAUCAUGUAACUUCCCUUUACUAAUUUUAAGAUGAUAAUUGAGAUUUGAACCCGUAAUCAUUUAAUCGAUUAAAUGGGGAGGAGGUCAUGUCCCUUGGCUGGCCUUGCUAAUAGGGUGGUGGGAUUAGCAUUGGCUUCCUUGAUUCAAUGCUUUGAGUGGGAGAGAAUUCGCGAAGAGGAAGUAGACAUGUCUUAGGGGUCAGGAAUCACCAUGCUUAAAGCUAAGCCUUUGAAAGCAAUGUUCGAAGCUCGCAUGUCCAUGAUUGAUGUCCUUGCGUAGCUGGGAAUUCUGUCUGAUCACCUUUGCAAAAUAAUCAUUACAGAUCCAAAUUAGUUCCUCUGCAAUCACAUAUCUUUAUCUUUAUUAUUUGUCUGUAGCUCAAGCAUUGCAACAUCUUAUCUUCUGUAAUAUAGGAAAGGAGUUUGAGAGCAUGAAAGUGGUGAUUUUUUAAAGUGUUUUUAUUUAUAAAUAUAUUAAAAUAAUAUAAAAAAAUAAUUUUAAAAAAACUGUUUUUCUACCUGGACAAAUAUCACGUUUUAAAUUGUGGUUUUUCACUGUCAUUUCACCCCUGGUCUCUGUAUUUCUAUUCGCAAAAAUUACGUAUUGGCAUGGCCUGGUCUUAGAUUACCGGUUACAUUUGAGCAAGGUCGCGCUUCAAAGUUUUAGCUUCUUGCGUAUUGCCUCAAAAGAGAGGGCAGAGGUGUUUUUUGCGCUGUCAAUUAAGCAUCAUUGCGUAGUUUUGUUUUUUUUAUGGGUUAACUCAUUUGAUUGGACUAGGUUUAAUGAGAAUGGUUGUCUCAAAAAUUAAGAAAAGCUCAUCCGCCUCUGUAUAGCAAAAAACUCAUCCCUUAAAAGAAAAAUAAUUAAAUUAUGAAAAUAUAUUAAAAAAAUUUGCAAUUUCAUUAAAAAAUAUAUAAAAAAUGUAUUAAAUUAUCUUAUCUCACCUUAAUUUCAAAAGUGCAAUUUUUUUCUUUUGACAUUUUCCAUUCUUAACACAUUGAUGUAAAGUUAAGGCUGCCCAAUUUGGCUGCAUUAUACAUUUAUACGUUUUAAACAAUUGCAAAGAUAUUAAACAUUAAAAGAUGCCCGUCAUGACAGCCUUCUCUAGAAUUAAUAUUAAUAUUAAUAAAUCUACGGGUACAAAUCAAUUACUAUCACCUUUGACCUAGUUUUGGGAGUAGGCUUGUGAAAAUUUAUUUAUUUAUAAUUUAUAUAUUUUUUUGUGUUUUCAUAUUAUUUUAAUAUAUUAAUAUUAAAAAUAUAUUUUUUGAAUUUAAAAAAACAACCAAAAGUGCACUUAAAAUCAACCAUGAAGGGUGUAGCUCAACUAGUUAGGCCCUAAGUUUGUUUCUUAGACAUUACUAGUUCGAGUCCACAAACCUCAGGGCCACUGGAGGCUUAUAUGAUCGUUAACUUCAGAGCCCGUAAGAUUAGUCGAGGUACAUUCAAGUUAGCCCAACAACCUACAUUAAUAAUAAUAAAAAAAGACACCUUUCAAAAUCUCUCUAGAAAAACAUGAAAAGAAAAAGGAAGAAGAGAAACAAUAAUUUAUUUUUAUUUCCAAUAAUGUCAUGGACCUCAUUUUCUAAAAAUGGAUAGGCAAUGUUAAUUAUUGGAAGUGAAACUUCGAGUGCAUUUGGUAUUGUGGUAGCUUUUAUAGUUGUGGUUUGAAAAAAAAAAAAACUUUUGGUUGAGGUUGGUUUGAUAUUUAUAUAUUUGGUUAAAACUGUGGUUGAAAUUGAGAUUGAAUAAAAAGUAGUUUAAUAUGUUUGGUUAAACAUGCUUUUCAAAUUGAGGUUAUAAAAUAACUAAAAAAGAUAUGUAAAUAUUGAUAGUUUUUAAUUUAAAUAUUGUAGAUUUAACAAUCACUAUUACAUCAUUAAAUAAAUAAUACUUCAUAUCAAAUAUUUUUUAUUGUUCCAUUAACUUAUCUAUAAUUUCAUCACGUAUGAAAUUUAUCCGAUAAAGACUACAGUUUCCAUGGUUUUUUUGAGUGUGCAACAAAAUCAGGUAAAAUAUCAUUGGAAUUGCAAUCAAAUUCUGCAAAUGCUAUGUCAUCAUGCAAUCUUCUUUUAAUUUAUAUAAUGUUAAUAAAUAAUACCAAACACUAGUUCUUCAAGAAAAACACAAUUAAAAAAAUUAGAUUUUUUUUACUGGUCGGAUGCCGGUCAAUGAAUAAUGGAGUAAUAAAAAGCAUCAAUGGAGCGUUAAUCUGUUAUCUAAGCUAUUUAGGCUUCGUUUGUUUGCAGGAAAGUUGUUUCCUUUUGGAAAGUGAAUUCCGAGAAAGUAAUUUCCGAUGUUUGGCAGUGUUAUGGAAAAUGAACUGGAAAACACUUUCCAGUGUUUAUUUAUAUUAUGGAAAAUGAACUGGAAAAUAAUUUAUUAAUGAAUUAAUUUUUUUUUCAAGUUUAUCUAAUAUAUAUAAAAUAUUUAAUCACUUACAAUAAAAAAAUGAAAUCUAAAAAGUAUAAUGAUGAAUUUUUUUUAUUAUAUCCUAUAUUCAUACAUAACUUAUUUUAUAAAAUAUAACUAUAUAUGUCACAUCAUAUUAUAGAGAAAUAAGCUUGUGAAAUAUUUUUUAAGUAAAACCUAUUAAUAUAUAUUUUUUCAAUUUUAAAAGCUUAAAAUAAGUUUUUUUUUUCAUAUGAAGAAAGCCAAAUUAGUUUAUGGUAAGAGUUAUAUAUUUAGUUUUUUUUUUUAAUUCAAAAGUUCACAACGAUCAAUAACAUCAAUCAUUUUAAUUCUAAAAAAUAAUGUGAUUAUCGAAUAAUUAAAUAAAUAUAAGUUUCGAAAAUCACCUCGUAUGCGGCAACACAAUACACAAUCAAGUUCAUGGCUAGGUUCAAUUCUAUUCUAUUUUGAUUUGUUAUUUAUAACCAUGGAGAUUGUUGAGUUUAGACACUAAUAGAUAUGCAAAGCUGGUCUAUAACAUUUGUAUGAUAAAAAGACUAAUCAACCCAAAUCAUUAGUCACAAAUUAAGGAGAUUUUAUUGUUAAUCUCUAUUUUUAAAGGAACAAUACCUAUUUAGAGUUAUAUUACAUUAUAUUUCAUUAUGCUAUUAAAUAUAUAAUUUAUAACUGAAAUUAUAAAUAUAGUAUAAUUGGUUCUACUACAACAAUAUAAACAAACUACAACAGCCUAUACCUUUGCUUUAUAAAAAAACCUCUAUGUUCUCUCGCCUAUCUCUAACUCCCUGCCAUAAAACUAAAGAUGGUUUCAUUCCUCGGUUUAUCCUCCUCCUCAUUCGGUUUCAUUCCCCUAUCAUUCCCAUCAUCAUUCGGUUUCUCCUCUCAUUCGGUUUCAUUCCACUAUCAUUCCCAUCUCAUUCAGUUUGUCAUUCGGUUUCUCGUUCCCCUGGCAAUCGGUUUCUCAUUCCCUUCUCAAUUCGGUUUCACAGAUUCCCCUUUCACUCCCCUCUGAUUCCCCUCAUUCCUACUAAUUAUUUUCUUGCCUAUCACUGUUCGUUCUCUCUCGCCCAUCACAGAUCGUUCUCUCUUGGUUGUCUCUCUUCCCCUGUUCUCUCUCAGUUCUCUCUCACAAAUCCCCUGUUCUCUGAAGAAGCAGGACACCAUCACAUAUUCAAGGGGCAAGGGGCAAGGAGCAGGGGGGCUACACCUCAAGGAUCUGCUCCUCAUCCCUCUCUCACCCGACAAUUUUCUCCUCCUGUUUGCAUCUCUCUCUUUGUGCUGGAUCCAUCACAGGGUAGGGGCUGGUUGGGUCUUGUUGGGGAUUUUUAUUUCUUUCAAGAAGCUGCCGAAUGUGCAAGAAAAAUGUGUGUUUAAUGGCUUGAUUGUGAUGAGAAAUUGGUUGGGUUUUUCUGCAGAUCUUGUUUGAAUGUAAUGAGGAGAUGAAGAAGAAAACUGGGUGUAAUGAAAAAAAUUGACAGGUAGAAACAGAAAUAAAAGUUUUUUUUGGAACAGACAAACAAUCAACGAUUUUUUGCUAUUAUUCUUGCAGAUCUAAAAAAUAUGAAGAAGAUAAAAACAUAAAGGAAAUAAUAUACAGAAAUAAUAUAGAAAUUUGAGGGAAAAAAUACCUGAAAUGGAGAAUGUGAUUCUCAAAUCUUCUUGCUUUUCAACUGUUUUUGUUUUCGGACAGAGAUGCAGAGAGGGGAAAGAUGUGUUUUAUCAACGGAGCCAAAGAUUAUGAAAGUGUUUUCCUUUUGACAAGAAAAGGAAAACACUUUCCUGCGGGGAAAGUGAAUUUUUUUUGUUGACUGGAAUUAAUUUUUCUUUGACUUACUUUCCGCAUUGUCAUCAAACAUGGGAAAAUGAGGAAAAUGAAUUCCUGGAAUUUAUUUUCCUUGAAACAAACAAGGCAUUAGAGGUAAUUCCUAUUUUCUGCGACGUAAUUACAAAUAAUGGGUCUGGGCCUGUUUUCCAUUCGGAAUGGUUGCAAUUAUUCCAUUGCAAAGUGUUGGGCUGGUCAAAGAGAUAAUGGGUUGAUCCUGGGCUUAAAAACAAAUGCCAUUUUAUUUCAAAUAACUUAAAUAAAUUCUUUAUCUGCAAAUAGGCGUCAGGCCCAAUCAAAAAUAGUUCAGUGUCCCGUCUAGACUCUAGAAAGUCAACUGGCUCUAUACCUCAAGCGAAAGACCUUGUUAGUUUUUCCACGUGUUAAAUGCCAAUUUGACUUUUGUUUUUUGUUUUUACCACCCACAACCAUUAAUUUUAUUAUUUAACCAGAUAAGAAUAAGAGUUGGAUAACUGGACUAGCCACUCUUUCAUGCUUCUCUUGGAAAACAUGCUGUCUUACUACUGCCUUGCUCUCUUCUUCCUAAUUUUUCUUGUAAUCAAAUAUGUAUUCCAUGGUAACAAAAACUCGCCCCCAAGUCCUCCUUCGCUUCCAAUAAUAGGCCAUCUCCACCUUCUCAAGCCACCACUACACCAAACGCUACAGACUUUAUUGCAGCAAUAUGGCCCAGUUCUUUCCCUUAAAGUAGGCUGCAGGUCUAUGCUUGUUCUUAGUUCUCCAUCAGCUGUUGAAGAAUGUUUCACAAAGAACGACGUGAUCCUUUCCAACAGGCCUACUUUCGUAGCCGGAGAUCGUUUAACUUACAACUAUACCACUAUUGUCUUCUCUCCAUAUGGCCAUCUUUGGCGUACCCUAAGGCGCUUCGCCGUCCUUGAAAUGUUCUCUCAGAAAGGCCUCAAUAAGUUCUCUGCAGUCCGCAAAGAAGAAGUUUGCUCCCUUCUCCGCCAAUUGUCUAAAGUCUCCUGUAGUGGCAACAAAAAGGUGGAUUUGCAUUAUUUCUUCUCACUCCUCAGUUUCAAUGUCGCUAUGAGGAUGUCUGCUGGUAAGAAAUGUAUUGAAGAGGAGGUUGCCUGCUCGGAUCUGGGCAAGCAGGAUCUUAUGGAACUCAAAAAGAUAUUCCAUCUACCUUUAUCCACGAGUUUGUGUGAUUUCUUUCCUGCUUUGAAAUGGAUCAAUUACAGAGGGUUUGAGAAGAGUGUUAUCAAGGUGCGUGAUGCGAGGGAUGGAUUUUCGCAAGACUUGAUAGAUGAGAUUCGACAAAAGAAAACCAGUUCAUGUUCAAGUCCUGAUGCAGGACCGGAGAAGACAACCGUGAUCGAAACUUUAU
rnacentral:lncRNA from 1 species